rnacentral:rRNA from 1 species
AACGAACGCUGGCGGCAUGCCUAACACAUGCAAGUCGAACGGGAUCCUAGCUUGCUAGGUGAGAGUGGCGGACGGGUGAGUAACACGUGGGAAUCUGCCUUUUGGUUCGGGAUAACCGCGGGAAACUGCGGCUAAUACCGAAUGCCCUCGAGAGAGGAAAGAUUUAUCGCCAGAAGAGGAGCCCGCGUCCGAUUAGGUAGUUGGUGGGGUAAAAGGCCUACCAAGCCGACGAUCGGUAGCUGGUCUGAGAGGAUGAUCAGCCACACUGGGACUGAGAUACGGCCCAGACUCCUACGGGAGGCAGCAGUGGGGGAAUAUUGGACAAUGGGGCAACCCUGAUCCAGCAAUGCCGCGU